UACGUAGGGUGCGAGCGUUGUCCGGAAUUACUGGGCGUAAAGAGCUCGUAGGCGGUUUGUCACGUCGUCUGUGAAAUCCUAGGGCUUAACCCUGGACGUGCAGGCGAUACGGGCUGACUUGAGUACUACAGGGGAGACUGGAAUUUCUGGUGUAGCGGUGGAAUGCACAGAUAUCAGGAAGAACACCGAUGGCGAAGGCAGGUCUCUGGGUAGUAACUGACGCUGAGGAG
rnacentral:rRNA from 1 species